rnacentral:rRNA from 1 species
CCCGCACAAGCGGCGGAGCAUGUGGAUUAAUUCGAUGCAACGCGAAGAACCUUACCUGGGUUUGACAUACACCAGACGCUGGUAGAGAUAUCAGUUCCCUUGUGGUUGGUGUACAGGUGGUGCAUGGCUGUCGUCAGCUCGUGUCGUGAGAUGUUGGGUUAAGUCCCGCAACGAGCGCAACCCUUGUCCUGUAUUGCCAGCGGGUUAUGCCGGGGACUUGCAGGAGACUGCCGGGGUCAACUCGGAGGAAGGUGGGGAUGACGUCAAGUCAUCAUGCCCCUUAUGUCCAGGGCUUCACACAUGCUACAAUGGCCGGUACAGAGGGCUGCGAUACCGUGAGGUGGAG